GAUGAACGCUGGCGGCGUGCCUAAUACAUGCAAGUCGAACGGAAAGACGAUGAGCUUGCGCCUUUGACGUUAGCGGCGGGCGGGUGGGUCACGCGUGGAUAACCUACUUCUUUUUCUGGGAUAACUACGUAACACCGGAUCUAAUACCAGAGCACAUGUUGAACCGCAUGGUUCAACGGAGAUAUUCGGCUUUGGUGUCAGAUCUAGCUGGAUUCGCGUCGGCUUAGCUAGUUGGUAAGGUAACGGCUUACCAAGGCGACGAUGCGUAGCCGAACUGAGAGGGUGAUCAGCCACACUGGAACUGAGACACGGUCCAGACUCCUACGGGAGGCAGCAGUAGGGAAUCUUGGGCAAUGGGCGAAAGCCUGACGGAGCAACGCCGCGUGAGUGAAGAAGGCCUUCGGAUCGUAAAACUCUGUUAUUGGGGAAGAACAAAUGUGGAAGUAUCUCGGGACGUCUUGACGGUACCUAAUCAGAAAGCCACGGCUAACUACGUG
rnacentral:rRNA from 1 species